AGAGAAGCGCGCUCUGCCGCCCUGGCGGGCUCGGAGCGCGGCCCCGCCCCCCGGCCGCGUGCCGGGGUGGACGCGGGGGUGCGAGGGGUCGCGUUGGUGUCGGCUGCUGGCGACCGGGCGCUCCGUGGUGCUCGUACCCAGGGCAGCCUUGCAGAGUGGGAGUCGGUUCUGCGGACUCUGCACAGAUCCUGCAUCCCUGCACCGCGGCCCCUUUGUUCCCCAGCCCACCGAGCAAUGACAGUGACCGGUUGGUUGGGCAGAGAGGCUGCCUGGUGUCCGGACCUUGUGUUGAGGUUGAGACUGAAAUUAUGCAGCCCUGUACAACCACAUCACUCAUCUCUGGAAGAAAUUUAAGAAAGUGCGCUUCUGUCUGCCCAACCGUGUACACCUGAUCAGUGACACAGAUGAAGAUCCCAUGGAGGGACCAGCUGAGGACCUUUCCAGGGACUGGGCAGAGGAAGGCACCUCAUCUCUGCCUGAGGAGGAUGCCCAGCAGCAGUCUGUAACUUCCUAGCCAACCGCCAGUACACACUCAACUCAUGUCCUCAUCCAUCUAAACUCCCUGAUGAGUUCCCGGGCAGCCCCACCAGCAUCCUCACAGUGGCGCUGUGUCCUCGUAGCUCCCCUCAAGGGCCUGACUCAAGAACUUCUCAGUUCAAGGCGGAGAAAGAAACCCCAGCCCUCCCUCAGCAGGAGGCAGCCCAAGAUGGUGGCUUUAUGUAUUCCAACAUCUGUCACUUCUCAAGGAACAAUCUAGCUUAUGAACAAGCUCUCAAGAAGCAUUGCUUCCACUGAUAUAAGGGAGGAAGCAACAGAAGAAAUCGGUCACUCAGGAGAAAAAGAGGAACUAGGAAGAAGCGGCACAGCAGGACAGUCUGACCUCGUCCCAGAAGCUCCAGAUUCUCCUGAGGUCCUCAGAGACGGUGAGCCACGAGAUGCCUCGGCCUUGGUCUGCAGCUUCGGUGGGGACUCAGAGGAUGGAAAGGCGUGAACUGGAUGCACCUGGACACGAGGAGCAGCAACACGCCUGGAGGAUCUGUUCCCCCGGACGUGACAUGGCAGGCCUCCCCAACAAAAGACCUUUGUGCUUCUCACAAGCAGAAUGGAUGCCAGAGGACAUGACAAAAGGAUCCUCUGUGAUGGACACCACACCCAGAGUGGGGGUUCCUCAUGACUGCUGAUUAUGGACACACUGAAAAGGAAGCAAUGAUACAGGCUGUCAGGCAUGCAUUUUUGGGGUGAGACUGGCCACCUGGGACUGCGUUCAGCAAGCAGCCCUCCUGGCUUUCCCCCUGUCUGCUGGAGGGGAUGCUCCUCCUCCAGUUCUCCCCCCACUCACCAGCAGAAAUACAGCUUACCAGAGGUGCAGGAAGAAGCAGGACUGCCAGGACCCCAAGGCCACCCUGGAAUGUGCUGGAGGGGCAAGCUGGCUGCAUCCUUUCUGGAACAGGACACACGGCUCACCUGGGGCCCCACUCUCCCUGUCAGAGCCCCUUCCAGUUACGUCCUCAUAUUCACUCUCCUCAGCCCCUUCCACCCAGCUCACCCCUGCUUACUCCCCAGUAUCAGGCUGGACUAAUCAUUGGGUCCCCAAGCAGCUGCCUCUGCCCUCUGGCCCACACCAGGCAGGGAGUCUGCAGGAGAAGCCCCACCCUCGGAAGGCCAGCUCCCAAACUCUACAGUCCCUUUCCUCUCCCAUGUUAAAGGCAGAUGCCGGUUCCGCCUUUCCUGCUACCGCCAUACAACCCUCAUGGAACCCCCACGUGAUGUGCCCAUGGUCUCCCGUCUUGCCCUAGCACAGCUCCGCUCCCACCAGGUUCCUGCUGAACCUCCCUCUGCAAGCCUGCCACUCAUUUCUGCAGGCUCUUCCAGCUCUUCCAACAACACCCCUGCAGGCUGGGACCUCACUGAGGGGGGCACUUGACGGGAUGAGCACUGGGUGUUAUUCUGUAUGUUGGCAAAUUGAACACCAAUAAAAAAUAAAUUAUAAAAAAAAAA
rnacentral:lncRNA from 1 species